GAUGAACGCUGGCGGCGUGCCUAAUACAUGCAAGUCGAGCGAACGGACGAGAAUCUUGCUUUUCUGAUGUUAGCGGCGGACGGGUGAGUAACACGUGGAUAACCUACCUAUAAGACUGGGAUAACUUCGGGAAACCGGAGCUAAUACCGGAUAAUAUUUUGAACCGCAUGGUUCAAAAGUGAAAGACGGUCUUGCUGUCACUUAUAGAUGGAUCCGCGCUGCAUUAGCUAGUUGGUAAGGUAACGGCUUACCAAGGCAACGAUGCGUAGCCGACCUGAGAGGGUGAUCGGCCACACUGGAACUGAGACACGGUCCAGACUCCUACGGGAGGCAGCAGUAGGGAAUCUUCCGCAAAGGGCGAAAGCCUGACGGAGCAACGCCGCGUGAGUGAUGAAGGUCUUCGGAUCGUAAAACUCUGUUAUUAGGGAAGAACAUAUGUGUAAGUAACUGUGCACAUCUUGACGGUACCUAAUCAGAAAGCCACGGCUAACUACGUG
rnacentral:rRNA from 1 species